rnacentral:ribozyme from 1 species
AAAAAGACUUGAGAAAUAAUGCACGAAGAAGAAGAGGCGUUUGUUUGUAACAUCGUUAAGUGUGUUUUUUUUUUAAUAUUUUGUUGUCUCCUUUUUGU